rnacentral:lncRNA from 1 species
GGGUUGUUAUUAUGCAGAUUGCUAGGACCCUACCCAGGGGGUCAGGGUCAAUGGGUCGGAAAUCUGCAUUUUAAGAAGCAAAAAGCCAUUGUAAUACAAAUAUCAGGUGACCACACUUGGAGAAACUCCAGGUUUAGACUUUCUUUUGUAUUUAGAUCCAAGGCUGUGGAUCAGAUGAGCUCUCAGGUUUCUUUCCCUCCAGCCUCUUGAUUCCAAUAUUUCCCUCUGUUUAUCUUGUGUCCACUUGCCCUACUUACACCGGCUGCUUUGGUAUCCUACAACUGUCUUCUUUCCUUUAACCUUUCCAACAAAUUCCACUGCCCUUUCUCUGCCCAUAGA